UACGGGGGGGGCAAGCGUUGUUCGGAAUUAUUGGGCGUAAAGGGCUCGUAGGCGGUUUGUCGCGUCGGGAGUGAAAACACCGGGCUUAACUCGGUGCUUGCUUUCGAUACGGGCAGACUAGAGGUAUGCAGGGGAGAACGGAAUUCCUGGUGUAGCGGUGAAAUGCGCAGAUAUCAGGAGGAACACCGGUGGCGAAGGCGGUUCUCUGGGCAUUACCUGACGCUGAGGAGCGAAAGUGUGGGGAGCGAACAGG
rnacentral:rRNA from 1 species